rnacentral:tRNA from 1 species
GCAUUGGUGGUUCAGUGGUAGAAGUCGUCUGCCAUGCGGGAGACCCGGGUCUGAUUCCCGGCCAAUGCA